ACCUGAUGGUGUAGGCAUUUACAAAGUAGGUCCUUGAAGCACUCCCAGGUCUCAAAGAAAAGUUCUCCAUCCAUUUUGUGUGAAACUUGCAAUUGCCCUUUGCAGCU